CAAUAGCGUAUAUUAAUGUUGUUGCAGUUAAAAAGCUCGUAGUUGGAUUUCGAAUGGGAGCGGUGGGUCGGGUCCGCAAGGGCUCGUUACCUGUUUCGUCUCCGGUUCUUUUUCGGGAUUUGUUUCUGGCGUGGCUGGCAUUGAGUUGUCGGUGGCGUCGGGCCCGUCGUUUACUGUGAACAAAUUAGAGUGUUCAAAGCAAGGUGUGUCUUGAAUACAUUAGCAUGGAAUAAUGAGAUAGGACUUUGGUGGUUUCGGUGAAAGCCGGAUAUUUUGUUGGUUUGCACGCCAAAGUAAUGAUUAAUAGGAGCAGUUGGGGGUAUUCGUAUUCAAUUGUCAGAGGUGAAAUUCUUGGAUUUCUAGAAGACGAACUACUGCGAAANCANNNACCAGGGAUGUUUUCAUNAA
rnacentral:rRNA from 1 species